rnacentral:rRNA from 1 species
UACGUAGGGUGCGAGCGUUGUCCGGAAUUACUGGGCGUAAAGAGCUCGUAGGUGGUUUGUCGCGUUGUUCGUGAAAACUCACAGCUUAACUGUGGGCGUGCGGGCGAUACGGGCAGACUGGAGUACUGCAGGGGAGACUGGAAUUCCUGGUGUAGCGGUGGAAUGCGCAGAUAUCAGGAGGAACACCGGUGGCGAAGGCGGGUCUCUGGGCCGUAACUGACGCUGGAGGCGACGGAAAGCCUAGGGGAGCGAACGGG